UUCCUGUGCAGUGUUUAACAAUGACUACAAGAGAAGAGUGAAUGUACCAGAGGAUGACUCAGCCACGCUCCUGCCCUUAAAGCAGACAUGGAGAGGCAGGAGGAAGGAAAUUAAGCACGAGUGUGAACAUGAGAUUUGUUAAAGAGGGAUGUCGAGUGAAAUAUGGUCAGUGCACGGCCUUGAGCUUUCACCCAGGCGCCAUGCAGAUGGGAAUGCUAAAGAUAACCAGGAGCUGUAAAUAAUGAGUGAAGGGGCCCCUCUCAUGGGCAAAAGAGACAAGGUUUCCUCCAAGGAAACAAAGGAAUGUGAGGGAGGCUAUGGACAGCCCUAGUUAUGCCAGGGGACAGCUAAAGGGCUGCUGCAGCCUGGUCUUAGCAGUUUCUAGAGACAGGCUGUGUUCACAGACUGAUGUAAUAACAAAAUUGAAGGCAGUGACAGAGGAAAGCAAUGCGGGGUUCUUCGCCAGCCCUUGCUGAUGGCCUUUAACCAAGCCGUGUGAUAUCCGCAGGCACCGCUCUGCUCAGAGGUACCCUGCGUACAGGUGAAAUUACCCAGCAAUUACCAGGCUGCUGGGGUUUGUAAAAUCAAGCUUCAGUAACGGUGUGCUACUUCACUGGGAGUUAUAAUAAAGAGCUGCUGUUGACCCUCAGGCUCAACAUAAUAAAUCCCAGCACAAACCAGGACGUGGCGACUCCAGAUUUCAAUUUUGUGCAAAGAGCCCCUGGGGAGGCAGAAGGGAGCUAGGUGUGCGGGCACGCCUGCCUGAGGUGCUCUCCCCGGGAGCUCCUCAGGAGUACCUGCAGGUGAGCAGCAACCUCGCUGGGAGAGCUCUAAUUUCUCCAGGGCUUUUCCCAUCCUCCUAGCACAGAUGCUUUCUCUUCCUGUAAGCCAAUGCCUCCUCCAUGGGCACCUCAUUUUGUUCCUCUGGAGGUGUGCAAAGCCUCAUGCCUGCUUUCUCCUCAGCUACAAGUGCAAAGAGAAACGUCAGGGGAUAAGAAAACUUGCAGUAUCAUCCUGCUUCUCUGCCAUUACGUGGCAGAACAAACAAGAAUUAAUAGCCUUCCCUGGGAUUACAAGGCUGAGCUCCAAAACUGAAAAGGAACAAAAGCAGGAUCCAAACAAACAAUGUAAAGGCUUCAGAAAACAAAGGGCAAAUGCACCUACUGGGAUAAGAGCGUCCAAGUUAUCUUCCAUUGAAUAUUUAUAGAGGACCCAGUCUCUACAAACGUUUCUCCAUUUUGAAGACUUGUAACAACUCGCUUUAAUGCCACUAUUAAUGGGACCAAUUAAUGGCUUCUGGACUUGUACCUGCUUACAACAAAGGUCAGAGCAAGCGGGAAUAGCACGCUGAGCACUCCCAGCCUUUGGUACUGAGAUGUGAUAACAUUUGAACACAUCUCUGAGCGACGUGCUGGCUGCCCAAGGAAAGCAACAACAGUUUUCCCACACAAAUUGGCCUCCAGUCCGACUGCUCAGCAAAAGGCUACAGCUGGAAAUGGAAACUGGGACUCCUAAAAGUCUCUGCUUUGGUACCACAAACUACCACAAAACCAAAAUAAGAGGCUUAGUUCCGGAACUCCAUUUUUCUUAUCAGUUUCCAGCCAUGCUCCAGCUGGAACACUACGAGAUGUAACCUCUUGGGCUGCUACGAGAAGCAUGUGUGAGCACAGACUCUCCCUCCCAGCUCCAAUAAGAGACCCUUUAAUUGCCAUGCAUGCAGGUGGUGGUGUUUUCUGUACUCUCUUCUCCCUCAGACCCUGUUUCAGCCAUCCCCUGUUGUCUAUUUCAGCUAGGAGAUUCUCCCAAGUACCACCAAAAUGGAAUGCAAUGGACGAAAGAAAGCCAAUGAAUCUCUCACUGCCAACGGCAGGACUGUGAAAAUCCACCUACACUCCCCAAGAAACAUGCCAGCGAAUCACACCGUCCUCCCAGCACUACCCUGAAAGCAGUUGGGGCACUGAUAAAGGUGUUGCUGUAGCAACACGGAGCUUUCUCCGACACAGCUACACGAGUACGUCCUCGGUAUCCAGGGGGUGAUUUUCAAUUUAUGCCGAGCUCCACGCCGCUGAGGCUACACCUGACUUUGUAGAAUAUCUGAAUAAUUCAGGUUGCAAGUAGCCUCUGGAGGUCAUCUGCUCCGAGCUCUAGUUCAAAGCAGGGCCAGCUUUGAAGCUACAGCACGCUGGAGAGAGCUUUGUCUCCGGCUACGAUUUUAUAAAGCAGCCUAGACGUGACUUUGUGAGCUGCGGCUAUCACAGCAGAGAGCAGCGUGAGACAGCUUUAACCUGACAACACCUCUGCAGAACUGGUAGGGCAGGAGGAGAGCAGAAGUUUGCACUGAAGUCGUCUCCCCUGGUGGCAGCAGCAUGGCAGCGCUCGGCAACCCUUUGUGUGACAAACCUCUUGCUGGCAACUGGGUCAGGACAUCGCUUUUCUGGCUGGAAAACUGGUCCUGCAGAAGUCAAGGGUGUUCCUCCUACGCGCUGCGAGGAGGAGGACUUCAGUCCUUGGUUUGGGGCUAGAGCAAACGCGCACAGUGGGCAGCUGCAGACAUGAGGAGUUAAUCCCUCUAAUAGCCUUUGUGCAUCUAACCACGGCGAUCAAGUGGUAUUGAGCAUAAUUAAUAUACCCACAGGGUGUGUGUUAGAUUAACAGGAUUACCUGCUGGCGGUAAUGUCACCCUGCUUUCAUUCAGUGCGUCUCUCAAGAAGGGAAGGUACUUUCUAAAAGUGGGUAAAUAUUUGCUAAUGCCAGAGAGGAAAAUGAAAGUGCAGAGGUUUGGUCACAACGCCGGUCCCGGGGUGAAGGUGGAGCAACAUCCCUGUCGCACGCCCGAGCAUUUGUAAGCCGUCAGAUGUCACGGCCUGCUCACGAAGUCCUUGCAGUCACAGCACAUUCUGGUUUCUUAUGCUAACUGCGUGCUUAUAAAGCAACAUUUCCAUUGCUAGUUAAGCUUCCAUUUUCCCUACACACUUUUUGUUAACUUUGAAAGUCCACAGAAGAUAAAUCUGGGGAGCAAACAUUCGGAUUCAGAUGGUCACCCUAAAAAAGGUUCCUUCCUUCACACUGCAGCAUGGCUAACAAAUGCUGUGCUAGGGAAUGUAAGUGCUCAGAGUUCUUACACAGGAUUAAAUUAUUUGGUAUCUGUUAUAGCCUGUGAGCAUAAAUUACUAUUUUGCACUCCGUGUACAAACAAUAGAUGUGGUUUGAAAUAUUCUGAUGAAAGAAUGAGCUUUAAUUCUUUCUCUUUUUCCCUCUUUAAAAGAUCUUUUAUGGCCACAACCAAUUCUUGUGUCUCCUGUCUUUAUUCUUCCAGUAUUCGUAAGGUCAUUUGUCCCACGGGAAACCUGUGAACCCUGAAAAUAAACUGUACUGCUCAUCAGCUCGUCAGCAUCUCCCACUGACAUUCAUUCACAGAAGCUUUCCGUGACAAUGAAAAUGAAUUCAGUGCCUACCUAGCUCAGGUAACAAUGUCUGAACCUAAGAACAGCACCGACUCCAUCCCACCUUAGGUUAGUGUCUAGCUCAGCAUUUACCCUAAACGAAAGGGUGGAGGGUGAGUCAGUAAUCAGAGAGCUCUGCAGAAGCUGGGGAAGAUAAAACACCUCUAGGGGGUGAUUUGUCCCACUUAUUCCAGACACCUAUUUCAGUAUGAAUCUCCUGCUGGAGACGCUUCCCUUCUCUCCCUACGGAGUGUGCCCAGACAACUAGAUGCCUGCUGGCAGGUGAAGUUGGUUCAAUGUGCAGUGUUUUGUAUUGGCAGCUUGUGCCCUACAUGUGGCACGCAGUGAGACAUCCGAUGGCUGCUACAACCAGGGGCACAACGCUCAUCAGCUCCGUGGUGGGAGGCAGGGAAACCAGCACCUCCAAAAUUCAAAGUCAUCAGCGAUCUGCUGAGUUGUGUUUUUCCAACAUUGCUUUUAUAAAAUCCCCUUCAGCUUUAUCUUCAGUCACCUAAAA